rnacentral:rRNA from 1 species
ACUCCGGUUGAUCCUGCCGGACCCGACUGCUAUCGGAUUGGGAUUUAGCCAUGUUAGUUGUGCGUCCCUUGGCUACAGGGGACGCGGCGUACGGCUCAGUAACACGUAGUCAACCUGCCCUGGAGAUGCGGACAAACCCGGGAAACUGGGGCCUAUCCGCGAUAGAUGGCCUCAUCUGGAAGGAGAGGCCGUCCAAAAGGGCGCACGGGUAUGCUCUGUGCGAACCGCUCCAGGAUGGGACUGCGGCCGAUCAGGCUGUUGGCGGGGCAAUGGCCCACCAAACCUGUAACCGGUACGGGCUUUGAGAGAAGGAGCCCGGAGAUGGACACUGAGACAAGGGUCCAGGCCCUACGGGGCGCAUCAGGCGCGAAAACUUCGCAAUGCGCGAAAGCGUGACGAGGCUAGUCCGAGUGCCGCCUGCUAAAGGUGGCUUUUCUCGGCUGUAAAUAGGCCGGGGAAUAAGGGGAGGGCAAGUCUGGUGUCAGCCGCCGCGGUAAUACCAGCUCCUCGAGUGGUCGGGACGAUUAUUGGGCCUAAAGCACCCGUAGCCGGUUUCGUAAGUCCUCUGUUAAAUCCAGUCGCUCAACGACUGGCCUGCAGAGGAUACUGCGGGACUAGGAGGCGGGAGAGGCGGACGGUACUCCGCGUGUAGGGGUAAAAUCCUUUGAUCCGCGGAAGACCACCAGUGGCGAAGGCGGUCCGCCAGAACGCGCUCGACGGUGAGGGGUGAAAGCUGGGGGAGCGAACCGGAUUAGAUACCCGGGUAGUCCCAGCCGUAAACGAUGCGAGCUAGAUGAUUCGAUCGCAGUUCGCGAUCGAAGUGUCGCAGGGAAGCCGUUAAGCUCGCCGCCUGGGGAGUACGGUCGCAAGGCUGAAUUGCGAUCAGAAGCAUUCUGACGCACAGUUCACUUAAAGGAAUUGGCGGGGGAGCACCACAAGGGGUGAAGCCUGCGGUUCAAUUGGAGUCAACGCCAGGAA